CCAGACUCCUACGGGAGGCAGCAGUGAGGAAUAUUGGUCAAUGGCCGGAAGGCUGAACCAGCCAAGCCGCGUGAAGGACGAAGGUGCCAAGCAUUGUAAACUUCUUUUGUCAAGGGACAAAAUCAGGCUCGAGAGCCUGACCGAGGGUACUUGAAGAAAAAGCAUCGGCUAACUCCGUGCCAGCAGCCGCGGUAAUACGGAGGAUGCGAGCGUUAUCCGGAUUUAUUGGGUUUAAAGGGUGCGUAGGCGGUCGAUUAAGUCUGGAGUGAAAGGUACCGGCUCAACCGGUAUAGGCUCCGGAAACUGAUGGACUGGAGUACAGGAGAGGGUGGCGGAACUCCAUGUGUAGCGGUAAAAUGCGUAGAUAUAUGGAAGAACACCGGUGGCGAAGGCGGCCGCCCGGACUGUAACUGACGCUGAGGCACGAAAGCGUGGGGAGCAAAUAGGAUUAGAUACCCCGGUAUG
rnacentral:rRNA from 1 species